rnacentral:rRNA from 1 species
AAAUUGUAGAGUUUGAUCAUGGCCCAGAUUGAACGCUGGCGGCAGGCCUAACACAUGCAAGUCGAGCGGAAACGAGUUAACUGACCCUUCGGGUGACGUUAACGGCGUCGAGCGGCGGACGGGUGAGUAAUGCCUGGGAAAUUGCCCUGAUGUGGGGGAUAACCAUUGGAAACGAUGGCUAAUACCGCAUAAUGCCUUCGGG